rnacentral:rRNA from 1 species
AACGAACGCUGGCGGCAUGCCUAACACAUGCAAGUCGAACGAGACCUUCGGGUCUAGUGGCGCACGGGUGCGUAACGCGUGGGAACCUGCCCUUAGGUUCGGAAUAAUUCUCCGAAAGGGGUGCUAAUAUCGGAUAAUGUCUUCGGACCAAAGAUUUAUCGCCUUUGGAUGGGCCCGCGUUGGAUUAGCUAGUUGGUAGGGUAAAAGCCUAUCAAGGCGACGAUCCAUAGCUGGUCUGAGAGGAUGAGCAGCCACACUGGGAAUGAGACACGGCCCAGACUCCUACGGGAGGCAGGAGUGGGGAAUAUUGGACAAUGGGCGAAGGCCUGAUCCAGCAAUGCCGCGUGAGUGAUGAAGGCCUUAGGGUUGUAAAGCUCGUUUACCCGGGAUGAUAAUGACAGUACCGGGAGAAUAAGCACCGGCUAACUCCGUG